ensembl:lncRNA
AGAGGCGGCAGGGUAGCCUAGUGGUUAGAGUGUUGAGGCGGCAGGGUAGCCUAGCGGUUAGAGUGUAGAGGCGGCAGGUAGCCUAGCGGUUAGAGUGUUGAGGCGGCAGGGUAGCCUAGUGGUUAGAGUGUAGAGGCGGCAGGGUAGCCUAGCGGUUAGAGUGUAGAGGCGGCAGGUAGCCUAGCGGUUAGAGUGUAGAGGUGGCAGGGUAGCCUAGUGGUUAGAGUGUAGAGGAGGCAGGUAGCCUAGUGGUUAGAGUGUAGAGGUGGCAGGUAGCCUAGUGGUUAGAGUGUAGAGGUGGCAGGUAGCCUAGUGGUUAGAGUGUAGAGGUGGCAGGUAGCCUAGUGGUUAGAGUGUAGAGGAGGCAGGUAGCCUAGUGGUUAGAGUGUAGAGGUGGCAGGUAGCCUAAUGGUUAGAGUGUAGAGGAGGCAGGUAGCCUAGUGGUUAGAGUGUAGAGGUGGCAGGUAGCCUAAUGGUUAGAGCAUUGAGCCAGUAACGGAAAGGUUACUAGAUCGAAUCCCUGAGAUGAAAAGGUAAACAUCUGUCGUUCCGCCCCUGAACAAGGCAGUUAACCCCACUGUUC